rnacentral:rRNA from 1 species
AUUGAACGCUGGCGGCAGGCCUAACACAUGCAAGUCGAAAGAGUGGCGUACGGGUGUGUUAUGUGUGGAAAUGUGCCUGGUGGAGGGGGAUAACUACGGGAAAGUGUCGAUAAAACCGUAUUCCAGGAUAUGUGCCCAGAUGGGAUUGGCUGGUGGGUGGGGUAACGGCUCACCACGGAGACGACCCCUAGCUGGUGUGAGAGGAUGACCAGCCAAACUGGAACGGAGACACGGUCCAGACUCCUACGGGAGGCAGCAGUGGGGAAUAUUGCACAAUGGGCGCAAGCCUGAUGCAGCCAUGCCGCGUGUAUGAAGAAGGCCUUCGGGUUGUAAAGUACUUUCAGCGGGGAGGCGUUACCCGCAGAAGAAGCACCGGCUAACUCCGUGCCAGCAGCCGCGGUAAUAC